UACGAAGGGUGCAAGCGUUAAUCGGAAUUACUGGGCGUAAAGCGUGCGUAGGCGGUUUGUUAAGUCCGUUGUGAAAGCCCUGGGCUCAACCUGGGAAUUGCAGUGGAUACUGGCAAGCUAGAGUCAGGUAGAGGGUGGUGGAAUUCCCGGUGUAGCGGUGAAAUGCGUAGAGAUCGGGAGGAACAUCUGUGGCGAAGGCGGCCACCUGGACCAUGACUGACGCUGAGGCACGAAAGCGUGGGGAGGCAAACAGG
rnacentral:rRNA from 1 species